rnacentral:lncRNA from 1 species
AACUCGGCCCGGCCCGGGUCCCGCUUCCGGAGGUCGCCGCAGUUGGCGGGGGCUGCCCCGGCGCGCCCCUGAGAGAACGCCCUUCGGCUCCACUGCAGGAGCGGGCUCGCUGGCUUUCUCUGGAGUUUGGACGUUCGGUGCUUUCCUCGAGGUUUUCCUCCUGGGGAGGAGCUGGAAUCUGGUUAGGAGUGAUCAGAAGAUGGGAUCCGCUCUGCACCGCACCGUGGAAAUUGGGAAUGGUUUAUAAUGGGCUGCUGGUAGGAGCAGGGCUGUCCUGAGGAGAGGUCCUGAGAGCUGACCCUAAAGAACAGAAGGUUACCACUGAUGACAACCCUUCUUUGGGAUGUGAGUUGGGGAAGCUGGCUAGAUCAAAGGAAUUGUGAGUCCAUUCUUUUCUCUUUUUGAGGUCUGGGGUUGAGAGUGAUAGAAUAGAACAUCUCCACUUGUUCAUUCCAUAGGUGUUUGCCAAGCUCUCCUGGAUUGCAGGAGCCCUUGCAGAGAGUGGGAAAGAGGCAUUCUGAGUGUGUUAUGUCUUGAUUUUGCAAGGGCAUCUCAGAAAGUCACUAAUGGCAUCUGUGGGAAGCCGAUGGUGGCCCCUAAAGACAUCUGGUCCUAAUUUCUGAAACCCAUGGAUGUUAGGUUACACAGUGAAGACUUUGCAAAGGUGAUUAAGAUUGAGGUGGAGAGAUUAUCCUGGAUUAUCCCAGGGGGUCCUGAAGGUCAUUCUAUGUUCCCAGAAAUGCAGGGAGGCUGAAGGAGGUUUUGUGGCACACACAGAAGAGAAGGUGGAAAGAUGGAGCACAGAAAGGUUGGAAGAUGCUGAAGGCGAAGAGACCUUACACAUGGGAACAGUGCAGCCACAAGCCACAGAGCACUGAGGUCACCAAAGCUGAAGAAGCAAGGAGCACUUUCUCCACAGAUCUGCUGAGACAGGAGUGGCCUUGAUUCAAGCCCAGUGAAGCAGAUGUGGAACUUCUCACCUCCUGAACUAUCAGAGAAUAAAUUUGUGUUGCUUGAGCAAAGUUGUGGUCACUUAUUACAGUAGCCCCAGGCCAUACUUGAGAGUAAAAUGGAAGCC